UGCGUAGGUGGUUUCUUAAGUCAGAGGUGAAAGGCUACGGCUCAACCGUAGUAAGCCUUUGAAACUGGGAAACUUGAGUGCAGGAGAGGAGAGUGGAAUUCCUAGUGUAGCGGUGAAAUGCGUAGAUAUUAGGAGGAACACCAGUUGCGAAGGCGGCUCUCUGGACUGUAACUGACACUGAGGCACGAAAGCGUGGGGAGCAAACAGGAUUAGAUACCCUGGUAGUCC
rnacentral:rRNA from 1 species